UACGGCGGAGCCGAUCCCGGGAUGUGACAAUUUGGUAUCAGAGCAACUCUGUCGUGUGGUGCGAGUGUGCCGACGAGGACGUCGGGCCCUUAAGGAGGUAGAUUGUAACAUCCCACAGACCAACGGAGAGGGGAUGAUGUGUCUUAUAUGUACAUGCCCGCCUCCAUCUAGCACGAGGCCUUUUGGGAGCUUACUGGCUUCGGAGUCAUGGGAACUCUGAAGUUAAGCGAGUUGGGGGCUAGAACAAUCCUAGGAUGGGUGACCCACU
rnacentral:lncRNA from 1 species